UAGCACGUGUUCUCACCAUCUGUGAGAGAAUGGAGGCAGAAGUUUAGAAUUGGGAUGUCAGAAAAAAAUAUAGCACGACAAGGAAUUCAAUGAAGUGAAGAUUUUUCCUAAGCAGUUACAUAGCCUCUCGUANNNNNNNNNNNNNNNNNNNNNNNNNNNNNNNNNNNNNNNNNNNNNNNNNNNNNNNNNNNNNNNNNNNNNNNNNNNNNNNNNNNNNNNNNNNNNNNNNNNNNNNNNNNNNNNNNNNNNNNNNNNNNNGCCCCUCCACAGACGUCUCCGUACCGAUCAGCGAGGCUCUAAUAAACCGUCCUAUGUCCCGUGACUCAUAUGAACCUAGAGCUCUGAUACCAAAUUUUCACGACCCUAGUUCACCAAUUGUGAACCUCUCAUGACGAUACCCAGCCUUCACGACUAGGUAAGCCUAACACAUUGCAGAGUUUAACAAUCUUUACGAAAACAAUAACAAAAUACAGAAUAACAUAAGUAAAUGCAUAGAUUUGCCGCCUGGCACAUGCACUUUAAUACAAAAUACUGAAAAAACCUCCAAGACCCGGAAACCCACGAGCAACAGAGGCUAUGAAAAGCGUAUGAUGCUCUAAAUACUAGAAUAGUCUAAUACAAGAGAACGGAAUAGCAACUAGCUAACUAUAUGUGGAAUAAGAGGGAGACUCUCCGGAUAGGCGGACGCGAAAGAUGCAUACCUCAAGUCUCCAAGUAUAGCUUUUGGAUCACUGAUAGUAUGCUCGACCAGAAGUACCUGGAUCUGGCAUGAAAAACAUGCGUAGAAGAGGCAUGAGUACACCACGACAGUACUAAGUAAGUGCCAAGCCUAACCUUGGUUGAGUAGUGACAAGAAAGGUCAGGGCCCUGCUGAUAAUAAAUAUAACAACAAUAAUGAACAGUGUAAGGUAGAAAAUAAUCAGGAAAAUCAACGAUAAAAAAGGAUAGAAGUUGCAAGUCAAUGACAAUUAAGCUAAGGAAAAUAACACAACCAAGUAUCACUCAAUAUCAGGGUGCCUUAUGGAUCUCCCGAGAAUUGAACCCGUAGUCCAUCUUACCAAUGUCUGGAGGAUCUCCUGGGAAUCGAACCCAUAGUCCAUCAUAUCAAUUUCUGGAGGAUCUCCCUGGAAUUGAACCAGUAGUCCAUCAUGUCAAUUUCUGAAGGAUCUUCUGGGAAUCGAACCCGUAAUCCAUCAUACAAAUAUUUGGAGGAUCUCCCGGGAAUCAAAAUAGUAGUCCAUAAUAUCAAUAUCUGGAGGAUCUCUCGGGAAUCAAACCCAUAGUCCAUUAUCCCAAUAUCUGGAGGAUCUCCCAGGAAACGAACCCAUAGUCCAUCAUACAAAUAUCUAGAGGAUCUCUCAGGAAUCAAACACGUAGACCCAAUCGUAAACACAUCACAACACUUCAAUAAUGUACAAAUGCUAAGUAAAGACAACAGGUAGAAUCUAAAGUCUAGCAUGCUUCACAAAGAGCAGAUAUUUCAAUUUAGCCAAAUAGAAAAAGUAAGCUAACUAACAUGUUUUCCCUAAGCUAAAAAAAGGUGAAAUUUGCAUUUAUAACAAUUAAAUACGUGAAGAACACAUUCUUAAUAAGUCAAGUUUCAACAAUUAGCUCGAGUAUACACUCGUCACCUCCCGUACAAGGAUUUUUAAACAAUAGUCAAGAUAUCUUAAGGGGAGAGGUCCCCCACACAAAAUUAGACAAGUCACUUACCUCAAACCGGUACAAAAUCACUACGAAAUGAUGCUCUUGCCAUGAUUAUCCAACUCUAAAUGACCUGAAUCUAAUCAAACCAAUUGCAUUAUGCAAAUAACAUCGCAAGCAACCAAUUCCGAUAUUAAAAUUAAAGCUAAGGCGCAAAAAUAGGUAAAAUAACCAAAAUGCCCCUCAAGCCAAUAUCUCGGAAUCGAAUAGUUUUUAUAUUUUCAGAAACCUUGUUUUCUAAUGAGUCUAACCAUAUAAACAUCUCCCAAAUCGGAGGUCAAAUUCCCCUCUAAAUCCUCACAAUUAGGUCUAUAAACCUUACCCCAAUUUUCAUUCAAAAUUCGAAAUUAAAGGUUGAAUUCACGAUUAGAUUAGAAGGUUUUAGUCAUAGAGGAGUAAGGAAUCAUUACCCAAUCGUUGCCUCUGAAAAACCUUUGAAACAUCCCUAAAAUCCUAGCUCUGUAGCUUGAGUUUUUGUAAAAAUGGAAGAACCCUCGUUUUUGAAAUAUUAAUACUGCCCAGAACAUUUGUACAUCGCGAUCGCAGAGAUGGGAAUGCAUUCGCGGAGAGUAAAAUUAAAGUGGCUGAAAAAAUGGCCUUCACGAUCGCAAACGGUACGCUGCAAACUCGAAGAUCUGGGACUGGACACUACGCGAAUACGACACGUUUCACGCGAUCGCGUAGAAGGAAAGACAGGGGUGUUCAGAAAUGGCCUACGCGAACGUGUUGGCCGGGACGCAAAUGUAGAAGAGGGACUGGCUGAGUUUCGCAAACGCUGGGUGAGGGACGCGAUCGCGAUGAAGGGGAAGGGCAAAGCUUCGCGAUUACGAGGGCUUCUUUACGAACGCGAAGAAGGAAUCACUGGCCUGCAAUUUUCUGCUGCAAUUUCAAAACUCCAAAUGCUCCAUUGAGCAAUCCAAACACACCCGAGGCCCCCGAAACCUCAACCAAACCUACAAACAUAUCCUAUAACAUAAUUUAAACUUAUAAAAAUCCUUAAACUACCUAAAACAAUGCCGGAAACUCGAAUUAAUCAAUGAUUUUAACCUAAGAACUUCAAAUUCUAACCACACUCGCUUUCGAUUAUAAACCUAACAAAAACACGUCCAAUUGACCUAAUAUUUUGCACGCACGUCCCAAAUGACAUGACUGUACUACAAUGUCUUUUGAAUCCCAUUCCGACCCUCGUAUCAACAAUUCACUAUCGGACCGAAACUUCAAAAUUCUAACUUUCGGCAUUUCUAGCCUAUAUGAGCUACGAACAUCCAAAAUACAUUACGAACAUGUUCCCAACCCCGAAAUCAUCUAAUGGAGCUAGCGGAGCCAUCAGAUUCCCAUUCUGAUGUUGUCUUCACAUUGUUCUGAUUACAGACCUUUUUCCAAUACUUAAGCCGUCAUUUAGGGACUAAGUGUCCCAAAACACUCCGAAUUCUAUCAUCGAACAUCUAGGCAAACCAAAAUAGAAAAAAUGAACUUAGGGAAAGAAGUUAAUGGGGGAAACGGGGCAAAAAUUCCAAAUACGACCUGUCGGGUCAUCACAAUUUACGAGUUCUUUCUCGUAUUUGCGAGCCUGGGCUAUAGGGGGAAGUUUGCAAUUGCAAAAUGGGGGAUGGGAAUUGUGAGGCUGUGAUCUUCGCAUUUGCAAAGAUUUUCGUUUCAAAUUCGAUAAGGGUAGGGCAGGCUAGGCUUUGCAAUAUGUGAAGCUUUUGUCGCAAAUGCGACAUUCAAUUGCGAAAUCGCAAUUGCGAGCCUGGAGUCGCAAAUGCGACUUCUAUGUCUUGAGCUGUGGCUUUUUAUUCCGAGACUUAUCCCAUUACCCUCAUUUCCCACUUGGCCUUAGGCAAUAUUUUGAGAGCAUUUGAGGAGGGAUUUCAUCAUCAUCAAAGAGGUAAGUAAUUUCUACACAUCAUAAGUUGAAUACAUGGAUUAUGUGUAGAUUUACCAUGUGAAAAUUAAGGAAAAUCGAUGGUUUUAGAUGAGAAACCUAGAAUUAUGUAAUAACAGUAUUCAACCACGAAGUUUGUUAGGGAAUAGAGUAAAAAUCAUAUAUUCUUGAUCCUUAGGUUAUGGGUAACAAUAUUCUUCAUAAAAUUUCAGAAUCUGGGUAAUGGGCCACAAAAUGGAUCUUAGGAACCUUGCAUUUAGGAUUGGAAAACUGAUUUAAUAAUUAGAAUAUGAACUUUUGAGCAUGUAUUGACUAGUUCUUACCCUAUUUGAACAGUUUUGGAUCGUUCGGCUCCAAAUUGGAGGUUUGAGCGCGUUCUUGAAUUGGAAUAUAGGCUCCGGAGCGAGGUGAGUCUUCUUUUUAACCUUGUAAGAGGGAAUUUUUGCCAUAGGUAAAAAUAAUUGGUUGUGUGAUCCAAUUUGUGAGGGCUACGUGUACACGAGGUGAUGAGAUUUCGUGCGUAACUACUAUUAUACUAUUGUCCGGGUAGUUUAGGACCCAAGAGCAUAUUAUACUUGAAUUAUUUGUGGACUUAUUGACAACUUGAAUUGCUUAAAUAAUAUUGAAUUAGUAAAUAAAUUUCUAAAAGGAUUAAACUUCAUUUUCUUAAAUGGUUAAAAGAGUAUUUACUUUCUUUGGAUAACUGCUCCGUGUGGACUCCUGAUUGACUGUCUGUGUGUGUUUAAUUUUGGAGCGGGCCGAACACCUAGACAGAUUAAAUAGAUGCAUCUAUGGUUCGCGCCGUUCGACCCUCGGCAGCGCAAAAUUUAUAUUUAUGUUGGAGCGGAUUGUCGACCUCGGCAUGAUUUGCACAUUCUUGUAUUGCUUGCCCUGAAACUUAUUGGAGUUAUUGCUGCCUCUUUCUAGCUUAAGAAUAUAUGUAUAAAUAAUGAAAAAUAAUGAUUUCAUACAAAAGAAAGAAUUGUUUAUUUGCUUUAUCCUAUUGAAUUAUAAUCAUGUUAUAAAAAUUCACGAUUUAAUGUAUUAUGGAUAUAUCAUCCUUAGACCAUUAGUAAGUGUCGAAGUAGACCGUCUCGUCUUUACUUCUUCAAGAUUAGACGGGAUACUCAUUAGGUACAUAUUAUUUUUGUACUCAUAUUAUACUUAUGUGCAUCUUUAUUGCACAUGCAUAUGCAUCUCUAGUGGCCUACCGGGCAUAGCAGCAUGAAUGACACAGAGACUUAGGUGAGCUGCUGUCACACCUCCUUUUUCUACACCACCCCAAAAGGUAGUAUAUGAGAGUUUUUCCAAUUAAAGUGACGUUAUUCGAAAUGGGAUUAUUUAAUUAAUUACAGAGUCACCACUUGGAAUAAAUUAUGGUGUCCCAAGUCACCGAUUUAUUUCAAGUCCCAAAUCGAGAAAGUCUUAUUUUUGGAGAGUCUGCGAACUAAAAAUUUUAAGUAAGGAAUUUUGCUAACGUGGAAGAAGGUGUUAGGCACCCCCAGAUUCCGUGGUUCUAGUACGGUCCCUUAAUAAUUUACAUUUGGAUUAAUUUUUUAACUACUUAUUUUUAGGACCUAUGCGUAAUUAUGUUUUACCGAUUUUAAAUCACUUGAAUUAUUCGUAAUUAAAGAAUUGAGUUACGCGUACGUAUAUUCUUUUCAUUUGGCGCGUAAAAAACAUGUCACGCGAACGUGUCCAUAAUUUAUAACGCUUCUAAAGAUUCUAGCGUAUUAUUAUUUUGGGGAAGGCCAUGAAAUUCGCUAAAUGUCCCUCACAUAUUUUAAAUUAAUUCUUAUAAUUUAUUGAGGGCCCCGUAAUUGUUUUAUUUAGCGAGGCUCAUAUCGUUAUUUUAUUAAAGACCAAUCUAAAGUACCUACAUUAUCUAGUCCAUUUGUAUCUCUAAAAUAAAGGAAAAUCCUUACCCACAAACCCAAAUUUCUGAUGCUAAUUGAAAUCUUAAAUCAAAGACGGGGACCAAUUGUUGGCCCAAAGAAAUAAGUACAAAGCAGGAGAUCAACCCAAAUCGAGUUCGAACCCCGGUCCAUUACAAAUGACAUCCUCUUGGGCUAAAUGAAAACCCUGGCUGGACGCCCAGCCCUUGAAAAGGGAACAAACGAAUCUGGUCUUGUUCAAAUGGGUUUGCAGCCCCGAUUGCAUAAAGACUUCAAGCUCAAGGCUUCGAGUUCAAUUCCCAACAGAUAUCCUCAUAGCACCCAAAUGAUUGUUUUAUAUUAUUUAACUAACUUGCUUCUAUUAAAAAGUUCCUAAAUUUUAAUCAAAAUGACAACUAGACGGAAACCAACAGGGACAAUAGAAAUAAACGUGAUUUACUGAACUCCCUAUUUAAACAAACCAACGAUACUCAAGCUUUAAACAUGGAGCUGUUUUAACACUAAAUCAAUUAUUACUCCAUUAGUUUUGAUUCCUAUCCGCUAACUCUAUUAUAAAACACUAAUCAAUUGAAAGUUCAAAUUACUCACACUACAUUAUGCUAUACUAAAACAUAUCAAACCAACACUAAACCAUUGACUUGAACUAUCAGAUAUGUCGUACAAAAUCCACUGCUUCAAAUAUUCACACACUUUGAAUCAUAUUGGGUGAAUAGUUAUGGACUAAGCUAACUCAAAAGACUAUGCUAAUCUAAUAUUCAAUUAACAGUUCUAAUAUCAAACAAAAAGAUAGAAUCACAAUCUAGCUAAAUAUAGUCGAACAGUCCAAAUGGAGAUAUCAAACACAGUUCAAUUAAUACAACUAGAUACAUUCUAUCAAGCAUAUAGGGAUAUGUCUAGAACUAAUCGCAUUUCGAAUAGCAAGUCUAGGACAGUGCACAAACUUUAAUUGUAUUUCAUGUUCAAGAGCUAAGUUACAUCCACACGGCUGAGAAUGUGUACCGGGAUUUUUGAAUAGCAAAAAGGAAAAUGAAGGAGCCAGCAAAAGUCUAUAUGCAGCGAUGAACAACCAAGCACAAGAAUCACAACCCAGAAACGAGAAACCAAUCUAGAAUGAGUUGAAAUUCAACAGCAGCAACAAUAACUAAACCAAGGGACUGAAUGAACGCAGAAAUUGCUUAUAAUCAAUUACGAAUAACUCAAAAACUUCAGGAACCAAAGGGAACAAAAAAAUGGGAAUUGAUAACUAUAAUAUCAAAAGUAGGCUAUCAUUUCUAAUGAAGCAAUGAUUUUUUUUGAUUUUUCUGUUUUCUGUGUGUGUUUUUUUGUAUCGUUUGUAUAUCUGUCUGCAGAAACUAAAUUGAAACUUAACAGGAAAAGAGAAUGGAUUGUUCUCUGAAUUUUUAUCUCUCGCCCCCUCCUAAAGCAUGCAACAUGACCCUUUAUAGGCAAUAGUGAGGGCAACCCUCAAAUUCCUAUUUUACACUAAUAGCCCCUCAUUAUUUCUGCUUAAGUCCUCUAAUUUUGAACUUGAUGCUCAAGUAAAUACUACCCAAAAGCUGGGUGUUACAAUUUAACCCUAAUCUAGAAGUUUCUCACCUAGGAUUCCUUAAGUACAUUUUCCUUUUUUAUCCCUUAUUAACCUUAGCCAUUUUACCCUCUUAUCAUUUCCCUCAAAAUAUCUGCACCUCACAUGCUAUUCCAGCCUUAUCCUCUAGAAGUUUUCCCAUACAGAAAAUAUUCCCUUUCCCAACGACCAAAGCACGCCUAGACAGCCUAAAAAUUACUAACACUCCAUUAUCCACAACAAACAAUUACCCCAGUCUAUCUAAACUAUGGUUAACUAAGAAGUAAUUCAUUUCAGCUAUAACUAAUCUCACAAACAAAACAAACGACCCAAAUUCAAUCCAGAAGAACAAAUGGCCAAAAUCAAAACAAAAUCUCAAAACCAUAUCUUAUUGGGCGUCCAAACUAACCACGAAUCAAAACAAAUCAGAAUUUAAACAAAAGACUGAGAACCAGCCUAAGACGAAUUAACUUAUCAAUUUUAAUAAUUACAAUAUGAACUCAGGUUUUAACUAGGAAUUAAACUCAUGAUCGAUUGAACUAAAAAAAACGAUGAAACAAAUUAAAAGCUAAAGAAAGAAGAACUUACUAAAUUCAGCCUUUGAAUCAAAAUUUCCCGAAUCUCCGAUUCGACUCGAAAUCGAUAUUGACCGCAUGUUCUCCUUGAGAAUAAACCGACCAAUAUUGAUUCCAAAACUAAUCGUUCUCAAAAGCUUGAAGGCUAUGAGAAGUUCCUCUUCGCUUUAACUCUAAAUCGAAGCUGGCCCGACUUGGUGGGGAUUUGAUGAGAAAUAGAGGUUGAUUUAGGACUCGGGGUGAACGACGGUGGCGUGGUUGAACUCUAAAGGUGGAUGGACCUUCUCGCUGGCCGGAAAUGGCGGACUGGGAUUAAGGUUCUUCUGGUGAUUGAGAGAAGAUAAAUAAGGAGAGGCUUCAGAACUGAAGUGGUCUCUAUGGAGUUUUCGAACAUAUUGAUGUUAAAGAGGG
rnacentral:lncRNA from 1 species